rnacentral:rRNA from 1 species
GUCGUAAUAAGGUUUUCGUAUGUGAACCUGCGGAAGGAUCAUUG